GAUGAACGCUGGCGGCGUGCCUAAUACAUGCAAGUCGAGCGAACAGACGAGGAGCUUGCUCCUCUGACGUUAGCGGCGGACGGGUGAGUAACACGUGGAUAACCUACCUAUAAGACUGGGAUAACUUCGGGAAACCGGAGCUAAUACCGGAUAAUAUAUUUAACCGCAUGGUUCAAGAGUGAAAGACGGUUUUGCUGUCACUUAUAGAUGGCUCCGCGCCGCAUUAGCUAGUUGGUAAGGUAACGGCUUACCAAGGCAACGAUGCUUAGCCGACCUGAGAGGGUGAUCGGCCACACUGGAACUGAGACACGGUCCAGACUCCUACGGGAGGCAGCAGUAGGGAAUCUUCCGCAAUGGGCGAAAGCCUGACGGAGCAACGCCGCGUGAGUGAUGAAGGUCUUCGGAUCGUAAAACUCUGUUAGUAGGGAAGAACAAAUGUGUAAGUAAAUAUGCACGUCUUGACGGUACCUAAUCAGAAAGCCACGGCUAACUACGUG
rnacentral:rRNA from 1 species